AUUGAACGGCUGGCGGCAUGCCUUACACAUGCAAGUCGAACGGUAACGCGGGGCAACCUGGCGACGAGUGGCGAACGGGUGAGUAAUACAUCGGAACGUGCCCAGUAGUGGGGGAUAGCCCGGCGAAAGCCGGAUUAAUACCGCAUACGACCUACGGGUGAAAGGGGGGGAUCGCAAGACCUCUCGCUAUUGGAGCGGCCGAUGUCAGAUUAGGUAGUUGGUGGGGUAAAGGCCUACCAAGCCUACGAUCUGUAGCUGGUCUGAGAGGACGACCAGCCACACUGGGACUGAGACACGGCCCAGACUCCUACGGGAGGCAGCAGUGGGGAAUUUUGGACAAUGGGCGCAAGCCUGAUCCAGCCAUGCCGCGUGCGGGAAGAAGGCCUUCGGGUUGUAAACCGCUUUUGUCAGGGAAGAAACGCUCUGAGCUAAUACCUCGGGGUAAUGACGGUACCUGAAGAAUAAGCACCGGCUAACUACGUG
rnacentral:rRNA from 1 species